GGGAAGAUGGCUCAGUGGUAGAGCACUUGCCUUGCAUGCCUGAGGCCCUGGGUUCGA
rnacentral:tRNA from 1 species